GAUCCUGGCUCAGGAUGAACGCUAGCGACAGGCCUAACACAUGCAAGUCGAGGGGCAACAUGGUAUCAGCUUGCUGAUACCGAUGGCGACCGGCGCACGGGUGAGUAACGCGUAUGUAAUCUACCUGUAACAGGAGGGAUAACCCGGAGAAAUCCGGACUAAUACCUCAUAGCACAUAUUAUUCGCAUGAAUUUUAUGUUAAAGAGACUCGGUUACAGAUGAACAUGCGUU
rnacentral:rRNA from 1 species